AUGCUGCCCUCUCGUCCACCACAUGUCAUUGUCCCCGAGCCCCUUCUCACGGGACAGCUUUUAGCCCUGCUGAAAGCAGCACCAAAGGGAGGAGGCGAGAUGCCGAUGACCUCGCUGCUGAUGUCAGAGCAGAGCUCUGCACUUCGUUGCCAUGGCAAUGGAGCGAGGACCACAACACACAUUUUCUGGCACUACGUCAGCUGCUCCCACUGCAUCCCGGGGAAUGUUCUCACGGGACCGUGGGCUUCACAUGCUGCAGUCUCAUUCUUGGGUUCCUCACCUUGCAGUUACACCGGGAUUGUGCUGUGGUUUUCCUGGAAAAGGAUGAAAAUGCCAAAGGAUGAAACUCUCAGCAUGAGCGACUUUGAACGGCGUAACAAGUGGAGAGUGACCCCAAGCCUUCCCACUGCUCCCACCUCUCCAAAUAAAGCUUUUUUCUCCCCCUUCCAUUUUUUCCUUCCUUCCUCCUUUUUCUUUUCCCUGUGCUGAUGGAGAGCCAAGGAAAUGGGGAAGGGAAGGGAAUGGGGAAGCCAUUGGCUCUACAUCACAAGAGCUGUUGUGCAUCGCACCUUUGUCGUGGUGGUCUUGCUAUGAGUUGCUGAGCAUAGAAACUGGACCUUUAUGCCCUUCUUUGAACAGCCCCCUUCCUGUUAAACUAAUUGCAAAACAAGCAGAAGCCUUCAGAAGGUGAAUGUCUGUCCAGUGAGAGUCAUUACAUCCACCCCCUCUAAUGAUGUCCAUGCUUCCCAGCGGCGCUGCAGCCACGAGGCUCACGGGUGGUCUCACUGCUGGAUGCUUUCUGAGGCUGCAGCAGAUCCAGCCUUCCAAAAACCAUCUGCAUGAAAACAGGAUAGAAGCAUUUCUGCAUUUACUGUGGGUGGAUUAUUAUUUUUUUAAUACAUUUUGUUUCAUUUUUCCCCCAAGUGGAGUCCCAGCUGAUAAAGAGUUAAUUAAGUUUUUUUUCAGGGCAAAUUGCUCAGGAUCAGCACUUUGUGCUGCAAGAUCUCUGCCCUACCCUGCUGGGCAGGGUCUGGCCCAUUGCCCACAGCCAUUCCCCAGAGUUACCUGAAUUUUAGGCUGGAGCAGUGCUGAUGGAGGGUGGUGAAAUGCCCUGGGGUCAGCGAGGUAUCGAGCUCUGGCAGAUCCUGGUGCUGCCUUGGAGCAGGGAGAUGUUUUCUUUCUCCUCCGUUAAUCCCAAACACAUGGCAGGGAGUGUGCAAGCUCGGAGUGUGCAUUGCAAACAGAUGCAGAGAGCUAACCUCUGCUCUGAGCUGAUGUCAAAGCGUCCCCCUGACUUCUUGGGUCUUUCUUUAAAUGUGCAGCAACGGGACGAUGGAAGGGCUGGGGAGGCAAAUGAAAAACUGCUGCCCAUUAAUACAGAGAAGUGCACAAUGUUGUGGCUAUAGAGUCACACGGGAGCAUGUCAAAAGGGACAGAGCAGUAAGGAACCCAGCUCCAGGAAUGAUUUGCCUCCUGAGCAACCUGAAUUGGGGAACAAACCCAUAAAAACAUCAUUUCAGAGCAAUUCACCAUUCCACAAUAAAAGCAGAUACACGAUUUACA
ensembl:lncRNA